GGACAUAUAAGGACUAGUGUUAAUGGUUCCAGUACUCAUAGGGAAGGGAGGCGUUAACGGUUCCAGUACUCAUAGGGAAGGGAAGUGUUAAUGGUUCCAGUACUCAUAGGAAAAGGAGGUGUUAAUGGUUCCAGUACUCAUAGGGAAGGGAAGUGUUAAUGGUUCCAGUACUCAUAGGGAAGGGAGGUGUUAAUGGUUCCAGUACUCAUAGGGAAGGGAGGUGUUAAUGGUUCCAGUACUCAUAGGGAAGGGAAGUGUUAAUGGUUCCAGUACUCAUAGGGAAGGGAGGUGUUAAUGGUUCCAGUACUCAUAGGGAAGGGAGGUGUUAAUGGUUCCAGUACUCAUAGGGAAGGGAGGUGUUAAUGGUUCCAGUACUCACAGGGAAGGGAGGUGUUAAUGGUUCCAGUACUCAUAGGGAAGGGAGGUGUUAAUGGUUCCAGUACUCAUAGGGAAGGGAGGUGUUAACGGUUCCAGUACUCAUAGGGAAGGGAGGUGUUAAUGGUUCCAGUACUCAUAGGGAAGGGAGGUGUUAACGGUUCCAGUACUCAUAGGGAAGGGAGGUGUUAACGGUUCCAGUACUCAUAGGGAAGGGAGGUGUUAACAGUUCCGGUACUCUAGUGAGGAGGCGUUUUGGGACCAGUGUUAAAGGUACCGGUUCUCAUUGUGAUGGGACAUGUAGGGAAGAGUUUUAACGGUUCCAGUACUCAUAGUAAUGGUGCUGGGAAGGGGAUACAAGUUAGUGUUAAAAGGUUCUGGUAGUAUAAAGAGCAGGGUAGGACUCUUGGUAGUUCACUUAAUCCACCAAAACAGUUCACAAAAUA